rnacentral:rRNA from 1 species
UGAGUAACACGUAUCCAACCUGCCGUCUACUCUUGGCCAGCCUUCUGAAAGGAAGAUUAAUCCAGGAUGGCAUCAUGAGUUCACAUGUCCGCAUGAUUAAAGGUAUUUUCCGUAGACGAUGGGGAUGCGUUCCAUUAGAUAGUAGGCGGGUAACGGCCCACCUAGUCUUCGAUGGAUAGGGGUUCUGAGAGGAAGGUCCCCCACAUUGGAACUGAGACACGGUCCAA